AGCAGUGUAGUUUAGUGGGUAGAGUGCUGGCUUGAAGCCAGGAAAAUCUGGGUUCAAAUCCUACCUCUGAUA
rnacentral:tRNA from 1 species